UAAAGUGGCGCACGGGUGAGUAACACGUGAAUCAUCUACCUUCGAGUGGGGAA
rnacentral:rRNA from 1 species